CCUACGGGCGGCAGCAGUGGGGAAUAUUGGACAAUGGGGGGAACCCUGAUCCAGCCAUGCCGCGUGUGUGAAGAAGGCCCUCGGGUUGUAAAGCACUUUCAGUGAGGAAGAACGCCUGGUGGUUAAUACCCAUCAGGAAAGACAUCACUCACAGAAGAAGCACCGGCUAACUCCGUGCCAGCAGCCGCGGUAAUACGGAGGGUGCGAGAGUUAAUCGGAAUUACUGGGCGUAAAGCGCGCGUAGGUGGCUUGAUAAGCCGGUUGUGAAAGCCCCGGGCUCAACCUGGGAACGGCAUCCGGAACUGUCAAGCUAGAGUGCAGGAGAGGAAGGUAGAAUUCCCGGUGUAGCGGUGAAAUGCGUAGAGAUCGGGAGGAAUACCAGUGGCGAAGGCGGCCUUCUGGACUGACACUGACACUGAGGUGCGAAAGCGUGGGUAGCAAACAGGAUUAGAUACCCUGGUAGUC
rnacentral:rRNA from 1 species